UACGAAGGGGGCUAGCGUUGCUCGGAAUCACUGGGCGUAAAGCGCACGUAGGCGGCUUCUUAAGUCAGGGGUGAAAUCCUGGAGCUCAACUCCAGAACUGCCUUUGAUACUGGGAAGCUUGAGUCCGGGAGAGGUGAGUGGAACUGCGAGUGUAGAGGUGAAAUUCGUAGAUAUUCGCAAGAACACCAGUGGCGAAGGCGGCUCACUGGCCCGCUACUGACGCUGAGGUGCGAAAGCGUGGGGAGCAAACAGGG
rnacentral:rRNA from 1 species